rnacentral:rRNA from 1 species
UACGUAGGGUGCAAGCGUUGUCCGGAAUUAUUGGGCGUAAAGAGCUCGUAGGCGGUCUGUCGCGUCUGCUGUGAAAACUCGGGGCUUAACCCCGGGCCUGCAGUGGGUACGGGCAGACUAGAAUUCGGUAGGGGAGACUGGAAUUCCUGGUGUAGCGGUGAAAUGCGCAGAUAUCAGGAGGAACACCGGUGGCGAAGGCGGGUCUCUGGGCCGAAAUUGACGCUGAGGAGCGAAAAGCGUGGGGAGCAAACAGG